UACGGAGGGUGCAAGCGUUAUCCGGAUUCACUGGGUUUAAAGGGUGCGUAGGCGGACUGUUAAGUCAGUGGUGAAAUCUCAGAGCUUAACUCUGAAACUGCCAUUGAUACUAUCAGUCUUGAAUGUUCUGGAGGUGAGCGGAAUAUGUCAUGUAGCGGUGAAAUGCUUAGAUAUGACAUAGAACACCAAUUGCGUAGGCAGCUC
rnacentral:rRNA from 1 species